rfam:Candidatus Falkowbacteria bacterium RIFCSPLOWO2_12_FTLL_45_10 rifcsplowo2_12_scaffold_1398, whole genome shotgun sequence.
GCUCCCGUAGUUCAAUGGAUAGAACGGAGGCCUUCUAAGCCUUAAAUGUAGGUCCGAUUCCUACCGGGAGCA